UCGUUCUAGUCUUCCUUAAUCGUAUAAAUUAGUACCCCACUUAUCUAUUCUAUAUAUUUAUGUAGAUUCUAUUUUACAUUUUUUCAACACCAUCAAAAUAUUACAGCAUUUUUUUUCCUCCCGUAAAUAACUUUUCUACCAGCAAUUUUGCUCUAAUUUACAAUGAAAACACUUUUUCUGGAAAUAAAUCUCACUAGGAUGGUACUUUAAGGAGAUCAUUUUUUGAUUUUCUCA